GGGGAAUUAGCUCAGUUGGUUAGAGCAUCAGUAUCACACACUGGGGGUCGCUGGUUCGAGUCCUGCAUUCCCCACCA
rnacentral:tRNA from 1 species